rnacentral:rRNA from 1 species
ACGGGAGGCAGCAGUGGGGAAUAUUGCACAAUGGGCGAAAGCCUGAUGCAGCGACGCCGCGUGAGUGAAGAAGUAUUUCGGUAUGUAAAGCUCUAUCAGCAGGGAAGAAAAUGACGGUACCUAACUAAGAAGCCCCGGCUAACUACGUGCCAGCAGCCGCGGUAAUACGUAGGGGGCAAGCGUUAUCCGGAUUUACUGGGUGUAAAGGGAGCGUAGACGGAAGGCCAAGUCUGAAGUGAAAGCCCGGGGCUCAACCCCGGAACUGCUUUGGAAACUGUUUUACUAGAGUGCAGGAGAGGUAAGUGGAAUUCCUAGUGUAGCGGUGAAAUGCGUAGAUAUUAGGAGGAACACCAGUGGCGAAGGCGGCUUACUGGACUGUAACUGACGUUGAGGCUCGAAAGCGUGGGGAGCAAACAGGAUUAGAUACCCUGGUA